rnacentral:rRNA from 1 species
AUUAUAGACAUUAAUAUAUGUAUAUAUUACAAAGUAUAUAUAUAUAAUGCUAAUAAUAGUAAGGUUAAUAAAAAGUGAGAGCUUAAAUACCUAAAGGGAAACCUUUGAAAAGAACUAAGUGAAUUGAAUCAUCUAAGUAACUUAAGGAAAAGAAAUCAACCGAGAUAUUAUAAGUAUUGGCGAAAGAAAGUAAUAUAGUCAAAUAAGUAAUUCGUAUAGUAAUGUAUGAAAACAGGAUAAACUAAUUCUAAGACUAAAUACUAUUAUUAAGCAGAACUAGUACCGUAAGGGAAAAAUGAAAAAUAGUUAUUUUAUAAGCAAUUAUAUUCUUUAAAAAGAAAAUAAUGUACCUUUUGUAUAAUGGGUCAGCAAGUUAUUUAUAAUAGUAAAAUUAACAAAUUCAAUUAAAUUGAUAUAAAAAUAUACAUAAUUCAAUGUAUUAAAUAAUUAUUAUAAAUAGACCCGAAGUCAGAGGAUCUUCUCUUGAGAAGAUGAAAGAUCGAACAAGUUAAUGUUGCAAAAUUAUUUGAAUACUUGAGAGAAGUUGUGAAAGACAAAUCUGCUCUGUCAAUAGCUGGUUUUACUCGAAAUAUAUUUUAGUAUAGCCCUUAUUAAUAUAUUAUUAUUAAUAUAUAAAAAAAAAUAUUAAUAAAGAAUAGUAUAGCAACAAAUGUCAUUCCAAUAAAAAUAGGGAGAUCGUGAAGAUUUUAUCUAUUAUAUUUGAUCUCAAAACAUGAAAUAUAUUAUAAUAAGGAGUCAGAUUAUGUGCGAUAAGGUAGAUAAUCAAAAAGGAAACAGCCUAGAUUAAGAUUUAAGGUUCCCAAUUAUUUAUUAAGUGAAAUUAAUAUUAUUUUAUUUGUAGAUACUUAGUUAAUGGGUUUAACACUAAUCACUUUUUAAUGAGCAUGUAACAAUGCACUAAGAGAAUUAAAAUAAAUUAAUAGAUAAUAUACGGAUCUAAAUAAAUAACCGAAAAUCUAAAUAUUAGAUAAAUCAAUCUAAUAUAGUAGAGUAAUAUUUAAUGAAAGUUUAUUAAUUAUUAAUUAAUAAAGAACUAAUUAAAUAAAGAAUGCUGACAUGAGUAAUGAAAAUAAAGUAUAAACUUUAUCACUUAAAGCAUAAGGUUUUACUAUAAAAGUACGGUUCUUAAUAAAUAGAAGAAUAAAAUUAUCUAAAAAAUAUUUAAUUUAAUUAUUAAAUAUAUUAAAUAGAAUAAUCUAAAUUAUAAUGACGUUUAUAUAUAUUUUAAAUAAAGAAUAAUAAACCAGGAAAUAAUUAUAAUAAUAAUACCGUAAUGAAGACCGACUCAGGUAAGUUAGUAGAGCAUAUGAAAGUGAAUUAGAGAAUUAAGAGUAAGGAACUCGGCAAAGAUAGUUCCAAAAUUAGAUAGGAUAAGAAAGAACAAAGCUGUACAACUGUUUACUAAAAACACAACACUUUGCGAAAAUAGGAAAUUAUAGUAUAAGGUGUGAACUCUGCUCCAUGAUACUAAAUAAAGAUAGUUACUUAACGGUAAUGACAAUGAAUCAGUAUUAAAUAGCGGCUUUAUUCUGAGAGUCCUAAGGUAGCGAAAUACCUUGUCCACUAAUUAUGGUCGUGCAUGAAUGACGAAAUGAUGCAGCAACUGUCUCACUCUUAAACUAAAUGAAAUUGAAUUAGCGGUGAAGAUGCCGUUUACAAAUAGUAAGACGAAAAGACCCUAUGCACUUUUACUAUGAUCAGAUAAAUUGAUUAUUUGAUAAUUAUAUUCAGUAUAUUAAGUAAUAGUUUAUAUAAAAAUGAGAUACUUAUUAUAUGACUUAAAUAAUCUAAUCUUUUUUAUAAAGAAACAGUUUCUGAUUGAUUAAGUUUUGAUGGGGCGUUAAUUUCAGAAAUAGUAUCUGAAGUUUCCAAUUAUUAAUAAUAUAUUUUUAUCAAAUAAAUUAAUUAUAAUUAUUAUAUUAUAAAUAAUCUCAUAAUAUAUAUUUAAUAUAUAUAUUUAAUGAUAGAAUAAUACAACGUAUAGUAAAAUUGUCAAGUCAACAAUAAAUAUUAAAAAGUGUAAUAGCAUAACUAUGCAUCAAUUGUAAUACAAACAAGUAGAACAAGUACGUAAGUAUGGUAUAGUGAACAAAAGAUACUAAUAGUAAAGAUUUUUGAUAAAGGAUUAAAGUACGCUAGGGAUAACAGGGUAAUUUUGCAUAAGAGUAGAAAUCGUAAGCAAAGUUUGCCACCUCGAUGUCGACUCUAUCUAUCCUCUUAGUGUAGCAGCUAAGAAGGGUUUGAUUGUUCAUCAAUUAAAAGAUAACGUGAGUUGGGUUAAAUACGAUGUGAAUCAGUAUGGUUUCUAUCUACUAUUUGUAAUAAUAUCAAAUUAAAUCUCCAUUAUAGUACGCAAGGACCUUUUGGAAUGAAUCAAUGGUCUAAUUAUUAAUAAUUAUAAUGAUUACUUUUUAAUUGUUAUAUAUCUCUUUAUAUAUUAAUAAUUAUUAUCGUAAUUAAGCUAAAUUCAUAAAAGAUAAGUAUUGAAUACAUAUAAAAUACGAAGCUGUUUUAAUAAGAUAUUAAUGAUGAUUAUAUACUAUGAUCAUAUUAGAUUAUAUAUAUUAAAUAUAUAAUACUAAAUACU